rnacentral:rRNA from 1 species
GUGGGGAAUAUUGGACAAUGGGCGAAAGCCUGAUCCAGCCAUGCCGCGUGUGUGAAGAAGGUCUUCGGAUUGUAAAGCACUUUAAGUUGGGAGGAAGGGCAGUAAGUUAAUACCUUGCUGUUUUGACGUUACCGACAGAAUAAGCACCGGCUAACUUCGUGCCAGCAGCCGCGGUAAUACGAAGGGUGCAAGCGUUAAUCGGAAUUACUGGGCGUAAAGCGCGCGUAGGUGGUUUUGUAAGUUGGAGGUGAAAUCCCCGGGCUCAACCUGGGAACUGCCUCGAAAACUGGAUGACUAGAGUACGGUAGAGGGUAGUGGAAUUUCCUGUGUAGCGGUGAAAUGCGUAGAUAUAGGAAGGAACACCAGUGGCGAAGGCGACUACCUGGACUGAUACUGACACUGAGGUGCGAAAGCGUGGGGAGCAAACAGGAUUAGAAACCCGAGUAGUCC